UACAGAGGGUGCGAGCGGUAAUCGGAAUUACUGGGCGUAAAGCGUGCGUAGGCGGUCGUGUAAGUCGGGUGUGAAAGCCCCGGGCUCAACCUGGGAAUUGCAUUCGAGACUGCACGGCUGGAGCGCGGAAGAGGGAAGCGGAAUUUUCGGUGUAGCGGUGAAAUGCGUAGAUAUCGGAAGGAACAUCAGGUGCGAAAGCGGCUUCCUGGUCCAGCACUGACGCUCAGGCACGAAAGCGUGGGGAGCAAACAGG
rnacentral:rRNA from 1 species